UACGGGGGGAGCAAGCGUUGUUCGGAUUUACUGGGCGUAAAGGGCGCGUAGGCGGCCAGCACAAGUCAGUUGUGAAAUCUCCGAGCUUAACUCGGAAAGGUCAACUGAUACUGUGCGGCUAGAGUGCAGAAGGGGCAACUGGAAUUCUUGGUGUAGCGGUGAAAUGCGUAGAUAUCUGGAGGAACACCGGUGGCGAAGGCGGCAUCCUGGACCGGUAUUGACGGCUGAGGCGCGAAAAGCCAGGGGAGCAAAGCGGG
rnacentral:rRNA from 1 species